rnacentral:rRNA from 1 species
GGAUGCUUACUGCAGUCGACGCAAUUUAUUUGAGUGGCGGACGGGUGAGUAACACGUGAGAAUUCACCUUUAGGCGGGGAAUAACUUCUGGAAACGGAAGCUAAUGCCCCAUAUGCUCGCAAGAGUGAAAGGAUUUAUCCACCCAAAGAGAAGCUCGCGGCUGAUUAGCUAGUUGGUAAGGUAAUGGCUUACCAAGGCGACGAUCAGUAGCUGGUUUGAGAGAACGAUCAGCCACACUGGAACUGAGACACGGUCCAGACUCCUACGGGAGGCAGCAGUGGGGAAUUUUCCGCAAUGGGCGAAAGCCUGACGGAGCACCGCGUGAGGGAUGACGGCCUUAGGGUUGUAAACCUCUUUUAUCAAGGAGGAAGUUCUGACGUGUACUUGAUGAAUAAGCAUCGGCUAACUCCGUGCCAGCAGCCGCGGUAAGACGGAGGAUGCAAGUGUUAUCCGGAAUCACUGGGCGUAAAGCGUCUGUAGGUCGUUUAAAAAGUCUACUGUUAAAAAUUGAAGCUUAACUUCAAAGAUGCCGUAGAAACUUUUAAACUUGAGUAUGGUAGGGGUAGAGGGAAUUUCCAGUGGAGCGGUGAAAUGCGUAGAUAUUGGAAAGACCACCAAUGGCGAAGGCACUCUACUGGGCCAUUACUGACACUGAGAGACGAAAGCUAAGCAAAUGGGAUUC